rnacentral:rRNA from 1 species
UACGUAGGUGGCAAGCGUUGUCCGGAUUUACUGGGCGUAAAGAGCGCGCAGGCGGUCGUUCAAGUCGCGUGUGAAAGCCCCCGGCUCAACUGGGGAGGGUCACGCGAUACUGAUCGACUCGAAGGCAGGAGAGGGUAGUGGAAUUCCCGGUGUAGUGGUGAAAUGCGUAGAUAUCGGGAGGAACACCAGUGGCGAAGGCGACUACCUGGCCUGAUCUUGACGCUGAGGCGCGAAAGCUAGGGGAGCAAACGGG